rnacentral:SRP_RNA from 1 species
CCGUGCUAGACGGGGAGGUAGCGGUGCCCUGUAACUCGCAAUCCGCUCCAGCGAGGUUGAAUUCCUGUUUUAGGUUUUGUGAUGCAGGUUCCGGUAAGAUUCGUGCCGCGUUGACGGCAGGGUCCUCCGCGAGGGACGGCCAUGAACCCGGUCAGGUCCGGAAGGAAGCAGCCGUAAGUGGUUUAGUUCUUGUGCUGGAGGGUAGCUCGGCUUGAGCGACACUUUCUUAUUCGGCUGGAUCGCAAUUAUCGAAAUCAGGUGCACGG